rnacentral:rRNA from 1 species
CUACGGGUGGCAGCAGUGAGGAAUAUUGCACAAUGGGGGAAACCCUGACGCAGCAACGCCGCGUGAGCGAAGAGGGCCCUCGGGUCGUAAAGCUCUGUCAAGUGGGAAAAAGGUUUCUUGGUUAAUACCCAGGAGAUUUGAUGGUACCACUGGAGGAAGCACCGGCUAACUCCGUGCCAGCAGCCGCGGUAAUACAGAGGGUGCAAGCGUUGGUCGGAAUUACUGGGCGUAAAGGGCGUGCAGGCGGUUUGGCAAGUCAGAUGUGAAAGCCCUGGGCUUAACUCGGGAAGUGCAUUUGGAACUGCCAUUCUUGAGUAUGGGAGAGGAGAGUGGAAUUCCCAGUGUAGAGGUGAAAUUCGUAGAUAUUGGGAGGAACACCCGUGGCGAAGGCGACUCUCUGGACCAAUACUGACGCUGAGACGCGAAAGCGUGGGGAGCAAACAGGAUUAGAUACCCGCGUAGUC